UACGGAGGGUGCAAGCGUUAAUCGGAAUUACUGGGCGUAAAGCGUGCGCAGGCGGUUUGUUAAGUCUGCUGUGAAAUCCCCGAGCUCAACUUGGGAAUUGCAGUGGAUACUGGCAGGCUGGAGUAUGGUAGAGGAAGGUGGAAUUCCCGGUGUAGCAGUGAAAUGCGUAGAGAUCGGGAGGGACACCAGUGGCGAAGGCGAGUCUCUGGACAUUUCCUGACGCUGAGGCACGAAAGCCAGGGGAGCAAACGGG
rnacentral:rRNA from 1 species